ACGGAAGGCAGCAGUGGGGAAUAUUGCACAAUGGGGGAAACCCUGAUGCAGCAACGCCGCGUGAGUGAAGAAGUAUCUCGGUAUGUAAAGCUCUAUCAGCAGGGAAGAAAAAAGACGGUACCUGACUAAGAAGCACCGGCUAAAUACGUGCCAGCAGCCGCGGUAAUACGUAUGGUGCAAGCGUUAUCCGGAUUUACUGGGUGUAAAGGGAGCGCAGGCGGUCUUGCAAGCCAGAGGUGAAAACCCGGGGCUCAACCCCGCGGAUUGCCUUUGGAACUGUAGGACUUGAGUACUGGAGGGGCAGGCGGAAUUCCUGGUGUAGCGGUGAAAUGCGUAGAUAUCAGGAGGAACACCGGUGGCGAAGGCGGCCCGCUGGACAGAAACUGACGCUGAGGCUCGAAAGCGUGGGGAGCAAACAGGAUUAGAUACCCUGGUA
rnacentral:rRNA from 1 species